GACGAACGCUGGCGGCGUGCCUAAUACAUGCAAGUAGAACGCACAGUUUAUACCGUAGCUUGCUACACCAUAGACUGUGAGUUGCGAACGGGUGAGUAACGUGUAGGUAACCUGCCUGGUAGCGGGGGAUAACUAUUGGAAACGAUAGCUAAUACCGCAUAAUAUUAAUUAUUGCAUGAUAAUUAAUUGAAAGGUGCAAUUGCACCACUACCAGAUGGACCUGCGUUGUAUUAGCUAGUAGGUGAGGUAACGGCUCACCUAGGCGACGAUACAUAGCCGACCUGAGAGGGUGAUCGGCCACACUGGGACUGAGACACGGCCCAGACUCCUACGGGAGGCAGCAGUAGGGAAUCUUCGGCAAUGGACGAAAGUCUGACCGAGCAACGCCGCGUGAGUGAAGAAGGUUUUCGGAUCGUAAAGCUCUGUUGUAAGAGAAGAACGGGUGUGAGAGUGGAAAGUUCACACUGUGACGGUAUCUUACCAGAAAGGGACGGCUAACUACGUG
rnacentral:rRNA from 1 species